GCUGGGCACUGUGGCUCAUGCCUGUAAUCUCAGCAGCUUAGGAGGCUGAGGCAGGAGGAUCGUGAGUUCAAAGCCAGCCUCAGCAACCAAGAGGCGCUAAGCAACUCAGUGAGACUCUGUCUCUA
rnacentral:sRNA from 1 species